AUUUUUAAGAGAUGAGUCCACCUUCCCUGAUGCCACUUUUGCUUUACUGAGCAGCUGCCAGAAGUUUGCUGGCUCGGACUGUGGUUUUAGAAGACAUCUGGAUAUCCAGUUCUCAUUUAUGUUAGUAGGAAGAGGGUGUCCAAAGCACAGAGGAAGUUUUGGUAAUUUCUAUGGUAACUCAUUGGAGACAUUGUCAGCCUGACUGUGACCUCCUCAGCACUGAGAGAAACCAGAAAUAGCUCCAGUUCAGGCUUUUGAGUUUUGCCAUGAAACGGAUGUGAGGCCACAUCACUUUUUGAUUUUUAGGUUUGGUUUCAGGAGCAGGCAGGUUUUCAGUUCCCAGGCAAAGCAGAGUGGAGAGUUGCCCCAGCAGAGGCAGGGAGGAGACACAGGACGACACAGAGCUCUGAGGGGGACUGGAGAGGAGCCCAUGCUGGAGCUGUGGAGUAAGGAACGAGAAGACCAAAGCCAAGGAAUCCCAACACACCUGCCCCAGCCCCUGUGCAACCCCAUGCCGCACCAAGGGAGGAGAAGUGUCAGGAGCAAAACUGAAAUGUCUCCCUAAGAGUUUGCUUAAUUUUAUUUCUCAAUACUGGAAUAAGUAAUUAGAAGCUUGUUAAUUGGAAAUAAUUUCCUGACAUAAUACAUAUGUAUUUUUCCCUCCAUGACAGAAAGGAGCAAAAAAAGCCCACCUUUGCUGCCUGGUAAGGCAGAAGAACACUGGUUGAAGGUUCCUACAGUUUUGCUGAUGGAAGUAAUGUAUGUCAGGUUGUACAGGACCAGAAAUACCUGAAUCCAAGGCCUUGCUGUACCAUAGCAUAAGAUCUUCAAGCCAAGGGAAAAUAGCAGAUUGCAAGGACAAGAAAGAAGGACUUCCUCUAUGUGUAUGCCAGAAGCCAAUUUUUCUUCCUCAAGGCACCCUAAAGGUUUAUGGACAGCUGGAUGACCCAAGUGAAAUGCACCCUUCACCCUGUGUCCUUCCCAGCUGAGGGUGAAUACAGGCAAUAAUGACAAUUCUUCUCACAACCCUGACCAGGUAGAAGAAACUGUUUGCAAGCGUAGAAGAUGCCAGCUUCCAAAAGGCCCAUUGUGCAUGUUCCCCAGAAGGUGAAUGGGAAUGCUGACAAUCUACCUGGAGCACUAAGCAGCUGGGGGUGAAAAAUCCUGAGGCAAAAUGCUUAAAAAUUCUCUUUAUAAAAAGACUGGUAUCAUGUAUAGUCUUUACAUUUUUAAUAACAAUCUGUAAAACUUGCUAAGAAAGCUUUUUGAAUACCAUGAUUUAUUGCAUCUUCAUGAACAUUGCUAGGAUAUUUUUUGAAUUUGUUUCAUUAAAGGAGAUAUUCUCAGCCAA
rnacentral:lncRNA from 1 species